rnacentral:rRNA from 1 species
CAGUAGCGUAUAUUAAAGUUGUUGCAGUUAAAAAGCUCGUAGUUGGAUUUCUGGUGGGAGCGAUCGGUCUGGCGCUUAGCGCGAGUACUUGCAUCGUCUCCGGCCAUCCUUGGGGAGAGUCUGUCUGGCAUUAAGUUGUCGGGCAGAGGAUCCUCAUCGUUUACUGUGAAAAAAUUAGAGUGUUCAAAGCAGGCUUAUGCCGUUGAAUAUAUUAGCAUGGAAUAAUAAGAUAGGACUUUGGUACUAUUUUGUUGGUUUGCGCACCAAAGUAAUGAUUAAUAGGGACAGUUGGGGGUAUUCGUAUUCCGUUGUCAGAGGUGAAAUUCUUGGAUUUACGGAAGACGAACUACUGCGAAAGCAUUUACCAAGGAUGUUUUCAUUAA